rnacentral:rRNA from 1 species
CCUACGGGAGGCAGCAGUGGGGAAUAUUGCACAAUGGGCGAAAGCCUGAUGCAGCGACGCCGCGUGAGGGAAGACGGUCUUCGGAUUGUAAACCUCUGUCUUCGGUGACGACCAAAGACGGUAGCCGAGGAGGAAGCCACGGCUAACUACGUGCCAGCAGCCGCGGUAAUACGUAGGUGGCAAGCGUUGUCCGGAAUUACUGGGUGUAAAGGGAGCGCAGGCGGGUAGACAAGUCAGGUGUGAAAAUUAUGGGCUUAACCCAUAACUUGCAUUUGAAACUGUUUAUCUUGAGUGGAGUAGAGGCAGGCGGAAUUCCGAGUGUAGCGGUGAAAUGCGUAGAGAUUCGGAGGAACACCAGUGGCGAAGGCGGCCUGCUGGGCUCUAACUGACGCUGAGGCUCGAAAGUGUGGGUAGCAAACAGGAUUAGAUACCCCGGUAGUC